rnacentral:rRNA from 1 species
UACAGAGGCCUUAAGCGUUACCCGGAAUCACUGGGCGUAAAGGGUGUGCAGGCGGCGAUGUUAGUCUCAUGUAAAAGCCCUCCGGCUUAACCGGAGGAAUGCGUGGGAAACGGCAUUGCUUAGAGGGUGCGAGAGGUGAAUGGAACUCAUGGUGUAGGGGUGAAAUCCGUUGAUAUCAUGGGGAACACCAAAUGCGAAGGCAAUUCACUGGCGCAUUCCUGACGCUGAGACACGAAAGCGUGGGUAGCGAACGGG